CCUCGGUAAAUAAUGAUCCACUAUAACUUGGAGUUCAUCCAAUACUGUCACAUCAGUGUCACAUUGCGACUUGCGGGUAGGUGGACUGGCGGUUUUGUUUCAACUGACGGCGCACACGCAGCGACACCCGGCCGGUUAUUUUUGUGCUACGUACACAUGUAAAAAUCAUUUUAUAACUGAAACAUAACGAUCAACGACCCGACGAUUCUUGAAUCAAUUUCAUUCAAAAUACAAACUAUAUGGGGAACCCAUUUACGGGUGAUAUCCAGGAC